AUGACUCUCGACAAUAAAUAUCUUUGCACUCGCAUCAAUGAAGAACAUAGUGAAUGCAAUACUUGGUGUGAAUUGAAAAAUCUCGUGAAUCUUCAAGUCUUUGAAUGUGAGUUGUGCCCCAAGCCAAUAAGCGAAAGGCAUGCCUGUUUGGAUGUCAUGCAUCAUCACCCUUUCUAAACCCUUACCUAUUGGGCUCCAAGUGUGGGGGUUAAAAAUGGUUUCCCAUGAUCUCACUGGUUGUGGUUAGCCCAAAAGUGAGUCCCACUAAUGAUAGCACUGUGGCCAUUGGUGGUAAAGCUCUCAGACGUGUGCUCAUUGUCCAUCCAAACCCCAUCAAACCACCAAUUACUUGGUUGAUGUUGGCAUCACAACCCCAACUCAAGUGGGAUCACUCACUAAGUUUGAGCUUAUCAAUAAGUGGAGGAAAAGAAACUUACUAGAAUUCUCUUAGUAAUAGCAACUGAACCAAGAAUAGCCCAGCUUGAGAAUCAAGCACCCUUGGCAUCUAAAUUGUAGUCUAGAGAAACAUCCUAAAUGGCACAUUGAGCCCAAGUCCCCUUGAAAGGGGUGCCAAAGAGGGUGAGAGCCCUAUUGUGCUUGGACCUUAUCACAUCUUGAGGCAUUGUCUAUGAGUUAGGUUGGUUGGGAAUGCAACCCCAAUUGGGUGAUAAAUUCUGUCUAAGGCUGAAUAUGGGUGAAAGAUCAAUAGUGAACAUGUACGAUGAGGGAAAAUGAAAAGGACUUUGAAAAGAAGGUCAAAUAAUGCUUGAAAUUGUCAGAAGAGAAGUGGAUGGGGGUUGAUGAUGUGCCCUAGUCAGAUGUGGAAUGCCAAGAGCUGGUUCACCAAUCUGCUUAGGGCAUUGAUUGACAUGGGUAACAAUGAUAGCCCAAGGCUAUGCUUAUGAUAUGCCCAUGGACAUCACCAUAAUUGUGGAAUGUAGCACGUGCCAUCUCAGUGUGCCUUAGCACCAGUGUGCUCCUAGUGUUGGCCUACGAGCUCCUUAUUCAGCCUAUCUUGAAACACAAACUAAGGAGUUUGACAUGUGUGCAAGUUAAUGGGCUAGAAAACUCAUAAGGUGCAAGGAAGCUGAUUGGUAGGAUCCUUCGCGGGUGCACCACCAACUGACCUUGAUCUUCUUGGAAGGGUUCGAGUGUGAGCGUGCCUAUUAGGACCCGAAAGAUGGUGAACUAUGCCUAAGCAAGGCAUAGCCAGAGAAAACUCUGGUGGAGGCUUGCAAUGAUACUAACAUGCAAAUCAUUCAUCUGACUUAGGUAUAGGGGCAAAAGACUAAUGGAACUAUCUAGUAGCUAGCUUUUUUUUAAGUUUCCCUUUAAAAAAUUGGAGCCCUUAGCGAUUUCUAUUAGGUAAAGCCAAUGAUUAGAGGCAUCAGGGGUGCAAUGCCCUUGACCUAUUCUCAAACUUUAAAUAGGUAGGAUGUCAUGACUACUUUGUUGAGCUACAUCACAAAAUUGAGAGCUCUAAGUGGACCAUUUUUUAUAAGCAAAAUUGGUGAUGUAGGAUGAACCAGAUGCUAGACUACGGUGCCCAACUACGUGCUAACUUAGAACCAUGAAGGGUGUUGGUCGAUUAAGAUAGUAGGACAGUGGUCAUGGAAGUUGAAAUCCACUAAGGGGUGUGCAACAACUUACCUACCAAAUCAACUAGCCUUAAAAAUGGAUGGUAUUUAAGUACCUAACCUAUACUUGGUUAUUGGGGCAUAAGCUAGGCCCUGAUGAGUAGGAAGGCACAACAGUCACCAUAAAACCUAAGGCAUGAGCUUGGGUGGAGUGGCCAUUGGUGCAAAUCUUGGCGGUAGAAGCAAAUAUUUAAAUGAGAACUUUAAAGGUUGAAGAGGGGAAAAAUUCUAUGUGAAUAGCACUUACACAUGGGUUAGUGAUCCUAAGAGAUGGGGAAAGCCCAUCCGAUAGCACAUCUAGCAUGGGCUUCAAAGGUAAUCGAGUCAAAAUUCCUGAACCGAGAUGCGAUAGCUGAUGGCAACAUUAGGGAGUCUAGAGACAUCGAUGGGGGCCUUGAAAGGAGUUAUCUUUUCUAUUUAAUGGCUUGCCCACCCUAAAAAUGGCUCCAUUAAAGGUAUGAUCUAGCUAGCUAAAAGGGCAUCGCCUUUCACAUGGUGUUUGGUAUGCCCCGAUAGCCCUUGAAAAUCCACAGGACUGAGUGUUGUCCGCACCUAGUCAUACUCAUAACUAUAUCGGGUCUCCAAGGUGAAUAGCCUCUGGUUAAUGGAAAAUGUUGGAACCUUGGGAAAAAGAUUGGCUUUGAAGGCUAGGCAUAGGGAUCCUCAUCUCGAACCCAUUGACUACUGAUGCAUUACUCAAAUUGCUCCCUCGAUGAGAGCAGGUCAUCGUAUGCUGGCUAGGGGAUGAACUGGGAAUGGCUCCCUCAGGGGCCUUCCCUAAGUGAUAAACAGUCGACUCAAAACUAGUACAAAUAAGGGAAAUCCAAUUGUUUAAUUAAAACAAAGCAUUGUGAUGGUCCUUGUGGAUGCUUAUGCAAUGUGAUUUCUGCCCAAUGGUCUAACUAUUAAUGUGAAGAAAUUCAACCAUGCAUGCGUAAAUGGCGAUAGGACAUGACCACAACUUUUAGCAUUAUUUUUCUUAUUCCUUGAAUUUGAGGCAAGGCAUGACCUCUUUUUUUGGACCUAAUGUCAGCCUUGGUCAGUUGAUUUAAGCAAAAGACAUUAUCAGGUGAGGAGUUUGGCUGGGGCAGCACAUCUAUUAAAAGAUGAUGCAAAUGUCCCAAGAUGAGCUUAAUGAAAGCAGUAAUCGCGUGUGGAACGAAAGGGUAAAAGCUCGUUUGAUUCUGAUUUCCAAUACAAAUAUGAAUCAUGAAAGCAUGGCCUAUAAAUCCUUUAGACCUUCAAAAUUUGAAGCUAAAGGUGUCAAAAAAGUUACCAUAAGGAUAACUAGCUUGUGGUAGCCAAGCAUUCAUAGCAAUAUUACUUUUCGAUCCUUUGAUGUCGGCUCUUCCUAUCAUUGUGAAGUAGAAUUCACCAAGUCUUGGAUUGUUCACCCACCAAUAGGGAACGUGAGCUAGGUUUAGACCAUCAUGAGAAAAGUUAGUUUUACCCUACUGAUCGUAGUGUCAUAAUAAAAAUUCAACCUAGUACGAGAGGAACUGUUGAUUCACAUAAUUGGUCAUUGCACUUGGUUGAAAAGCCAAUGGCAUGAAGCUACCAUGCAUUGAAUUAUGGUUGAAUGCCUCUAAGUAGGAAUCUAGGCUAGAAGUGAAACACACACCCAUCACCCAAUUGUCAACCCACCAUAGGGGCCUAUGGCCCCUUGGGGUACAUGUCAUAGGCAUAGCCCCUAUGGUGGAAAAGCUGAUCAAGCUUUUUUGGAGCUUAAACCCACUGAACGAUAGGUAAAAUC
rnacentral:rRNA from 1 species